rnacentral:rRNA from 1 species
CACGUAGGGGGCGAGCGUUGUCCGGAUUUAUUGGGCGUAAAGAGCUCGUAGGCGGCUUAGUAAGUCAGGUGUGAAACCUCCAGGCUCAACCUGGAGACGCCACCUGAUACUGCUGUGGCUAGAGUCCGUUAGGGGAGCAGGGAACUCCUGGUGUAGCGGUGAAAUGCGCAGAUAUCAGGAAGAACACCAGCGGCGAAGGCGCUGCUCUGGGCCGGAACUGACGCUGAGGAGCGAAAGCGUGGGGAGCAAACAGG